rnacentral:rRNA from 1 species
AUAUCACAUAGAAACACCGGUUCUCGUACUAUCAGCGAAGUUAAGCAACGUCGAGGCUGGUCAGUAUCGGGAUAGCUGACCUUUUGGGAAUAUCAGUUGCUGUAA